rnacentral:rRNA from 1 species
AUUGAACGCUGGCGGCAUGCUUUACACAUGCAAGUCGGACGAGUGGCGACCGGGUGAGUAACAUUUCGGAACGUCCCGAGUACUUGGGGUUAACUAAUCGAAAGUUUAGCUAAUACCGCAUAUUAUUCGGCCGGCCGAUACCCGAUUAGCUGGUUGGUGGGGUAAAGCCCUACCAAGGCUACGACCAGUAGCGGGUCUGAGAGGAUGAUCCUCCACACUGGGACUGAGACACGGCCCAGACUCCUACGGGAGGAAGCAGUGGGGAAUUUUGGACAAUGGGCGCAAGCCUGAUCCAGCCAUGCCGCGUGUCUGAAGAAGGCCUUCGGGUUGUAAAGGACUUUUGUCAGGGAAGCGGUACCUGAAUAAUAAGCACCGGCUAACUACGUGCCAGCAGCCGCGGUAAUUC